GCCUGGGUGGCUCAGUCGGCUGAGCGCCUGACUUCGGCUCAGGUCAUGAUCUCGCGGUCCGUGAGUUCGAGCCCCGCGUCGGGCU
rnacentral:tRNA from 1 species